AGAACUUGCGAGCUCUUCUGCUUAUUGCCCUUGCGAAAGCUGUGUUCGGGUUUUAUUUUGAAGACAGUUACAGCCAUGUGUAUAAGUACCAGGCUACUUCUGACAUGAUCGGCAUGCACAAUGUCACCACUGUUGUACAGUUUCGAGUGCAGUCAGUGAACACCAGUCUGUCCCUUGGUCCAUUGAAUGUGUUGCAUAUUGAUAGUUUUGUCCAGUUUACAGAACAUGGAUACUAUCAAGAAAACCCAAAGAAGUGGGAUUUGAGCAAAGCGU